rnacentral:rRNA from 1 species
CCUACGGGAGGCAGCAGUGGGGAAUAUUGCACAAUGGGGGAAACCCUGAUGCAGCACCGCCGCGUGAAGGAAGACGGUUUUCGGAGUGUAAACUUCUGUUCUUAGUGAAGAAUAAUGACGGUAGCUAAGGAGCAAGCCAAGGCUAAAUACGUGCCAGCAGCCGCGGUAAUACGUAGGUGGCAAGCGUUGUACGGAAUUACUGAGUGUAAAGGGAGCGCAGGCGGGAAGCCAAGUCAGCUGUGAAAACUACGGGCUUAACUUGUAGACUGCAGUUGAAACUGGUUUUCGUGAGUGAAGUAGAGGUAGGCGGAAUUCCGGGUGUAGCGGUGAAAUGCGUAGAUAUUCGGAGGAACACCGGUGGCGAAGGCGGCCAACUGGGCUUUAACUGACGCUGAGGCUCGAAAGUGUGGGGAGCAAACAGGAUUAGAUACCCGUGUAGUC